GAACGGGUCGGACAGAGAAGAGGAGACCGGUCGAGGAGGAUGAAAGCGUGUUGUGAAAGGAACAUCGAGUCGGAGUUUCGCCGGGGGAACGGGUGAAAGACGAAAGAGAGAAGAGGACGGAAACGCGAAUAGGGAGCCGUGGGACGAGCGAGAGGGAAGAAAAAGAGGGAUAAUGGUAAAAAAGGAGAAGAGGAGAGGGGGAGAGUAAAAGGAAAAAGUCAAAGGGUAAAUGAGCCGAGAGGCUGAAGAAGGAGGAAGGGAUCGUGGAAAGGAGCAACGGAGAAUAGAAAGGGAAAGGGUGAGUAGGAAAGGGAGUAAAUAAGGAAGCCAUAGGGGAAUGGAAAUGGGGAAGGAAGCGGAAUGCGUGUUGGCUCUGCGUGCGCCUUUACUCCUGUAUAAAUACAAAUACUCGCUAUUUAACGCUUCGAUUCUCGUCGUACGCAACGCAAAGUUUGUGGAUUUUAACGCGUUUUAACGCCUAUUUCGUAUCUCUUAUGGGCCGUUUUAUCUCGUUACGCAUAUUCGUUGACGCGUACGACGUAAAUUCGGAAUUAUCGUAAUCGGAGAAAGAAACGGCGAUAAAGAGCCGAGUUAAAGCGUCGUCGAGCUAUACGGGCGAACGAUACGAAAUAAAACAAAGGACACGAGGUGGAAAAUAAAAGGAAAAAAUUGACGACACGAGAAAGCAGAAGGUAAAGUGGAGAGAAGCGUAGGAAACAAGAGGGGAAAAAGGAAAGCAGCGAGAGGAAGAGAAGCUUCUGCGCAGCAUACGUGCAAGUUAAACAUACGGGGGACACUUGUCGGUGAAAAAUGUGGAUUUAUCAGCAGUGCUUGUAAAGCGCGACAAGAAAAACGUUUUCGCUUCUGACACUGGGACAGCUAGGUUUUUGCGCGUCUCAGAAAACAAUGUCGCGCUUUGGUGUCGAUGCCACUAAGAGUUUAAUCCCCUUUAACCGACUUUAACUAUCUAAUUUUCGCGUGCUUCGGCAACGCUAAUUCUUUCGUAUCGCUGGAAAUUUUCGGAUCGUCUACUCCGCUGAAAAUCGUGCUUGAAUUUUAUGAUCGAAGAUGGACGUACGGUGGAUUUUGGAUACUCGGAUCGAUAUUAAACGAUGCGAGGACACGCCUGUUCCAGGCUUUUAUACGAUCGAUCGACGCGCAAGUUAUUCGAGAGACGCGAUUACACGCCUUCGCUGAAUACGCGAUAAAAACAAUCAAUGUAACGGAGUACGGACAGACUAGACGAUAAAUCCAGCUAAAAGUCAUUAAGAUUCCAAUAGAAACCAAGUUCGGAGACACGGCAGCGGUUAGAAAAAAUCAAGAGAAGCGAAUGCCGCGGUAACGGCGAUUGCUAAGCGACUGGUUUAUGCGUAUGUAUGAGGCUCGAGCAGCGGACUCCAACGUUUACCAUGCGACUCUGAUAACCCAGGCCCGCCGUUGAUAAUGAGCUUUGUCGAGGAGUAUCGAUCGAACGGUCACGACUCGCGUUAUAUUGUGCAAUUCGUAUGAUAAAUACCUCGGUGAAAAAAUAAACCACGGAUUUCGGUGAAUUACGCCGUUUUUGCCAAUCUAACUCUUUUAUUUAAUUAUUAUUCCGAUCUGCGCGUAACGCUUUUCACUCGCUAAUCUUGGAUAUUUCGUUUCAACGAAAUCGAUAGACGUAACACCGAAGAUCAUGGCGACAAAAGAGAGAGAGAGAGAAAAAAAAAAAAGAAAAAGAGUUCUGUGCGUAAAUAACGCUACUUACGUAUACGUUUACGUUUUACGAAAUAUACUCGAAUAUGCUCGAUACGGCGAUACGGAUUUGCACCGAGAUUACGAUUAGACGCAAACUUACAAUUAGAAAAGCGAGCAGCGUUGUGUUCGCUGUUCGUUUCGGGGAAGAGCGAGUAAAAAAAUUCGUGGCAAUUUAUCAGAAUUAGUUGUGGGACGAGCAGAGUCUUUUUAUGGCUUACCAUAAUUCACCUCUUUGUGCAACAUUGGAGCGUGUGCGCGCUCUUUCGGAAAAAACAAAGCUUACGUAGUACGCGAGUACAACGAGGACGAAGCCAGAACGCGGGUGCGAUGCACUCGACAAGGACAACUCGUGUUUUCAUAAACUCCGUUAAUGAAACACAUGCGCGUAAAAUGCUCCCCCUCCUCGUCGACGUUUUUUCCCUCCCUUCUACGCUCCACACUCUACUAUUUCCAAUUCAAUGUGGCUCGAGAAAGCUAACAAUAGCCUGACUAAAUCGUCUCGGUAUUUAUUAGCGAAUAUCCGAAGAAUUCUAAUUCGAUUCGCUGAAUUCGCCUGUGUAUAGACCUUGUCGUUUAGUGAAAACAUCGAAAGUGCCGUUAAUCAGACCGAAAAAUAACGAUGUUGCGAAGAAAGUAAAACGAAAGGACACAGCGAUGCGGUUAAAAUUUACUUUUCCACGGAGUACUUCGAUCGCGACAUACACGCCGUUCUUUCGGCAAAAAUUAUCCUCCUUUCGAUCGAUUAUUUUUUUUUCUUAUUAAAUUCUGCCUCGGCCGCGAUAUAAUUUAAGGUUUUUACCGAACGAACGCCACGACAACCGUCGUACGAUAGGAGUUAAGUCAACAGAUACGCUUUUGUCCACGAUAAAAGCUUCUUAUCAUCCGCGUCUGAGUUCGCGUUCCCCUUCGUUACAAUGACAAUGAGAGGAGCGCUAACAGGAAUAGAAUAAAUGUGGCGGUAAAAAGGUGAGUGGCGUCGAGUUUUAUUCGUUCGUUCUGUUCGCGACAUAAUAAGGAGAUAAUGAAGCUUAACGUAUUAAACAACGCGCGAUAAGACAGAUAGACGAUAACGGUAUAUCGAUAACAGAAUCUCUCGGAGAGCAGUUAUAAAUUAGCAGUUGUAAAUUAGUUUCAACGGUAAGAAAAUGAAAUUUUUAUUUCGCACGACGAUGUAUCGGGUUUUAUCGUUUUUUCUACACGAUCGGAAUCUUUACAAACGUGUGCUCGUAUUUACGGAUACAAAUAUCACGUGCUACAGCUAAAAAUAAAAGUAGCACCGAUGAAAGUAAAUCUCUAACGAUUCGUCGAACGUUGAGUUCUUUGCCCAUGUUAACGUUAUUUCUUUCUCCGAAAUGCAUCAAGUAAAAUAUGAUGCAAAUGAAUUUACACGCUGUCUUUCUUUUUAUCGUAAGAUCGCUCCAAUUUAUUUAUUCGUUUUAGGAAUUAUACUUUACUUUUGUAAUUUGAACGAUCAUAUUGAAAUAAUAGUUAAAAUUUCGAAGAUAAAGCUAUAAUUUAUCGCCGACAAACCGCUGAUAAGGAUUUAUAACAAGGGAAACUUUUCAAAGGAAUUAUUUACGUUUAUGCAGGAACGAGAUUUCUCGUUUUAUCCUCGGUUCGACGCUUUUAAAAAUACAUUCCAAGCGUUUCGUAUAUUAUUUUGUUCGGAUAUUCGUUAAAUCUCUUCGGGCCAUACGUGUUAUUACAUUUUAUUCGAGGAUUCACGCGGUAGAAUUUUCUUAUCGAAGGCCUCUUGUUAUCGUGUUGUCUAAAGAUUUCCACAGAUGAUGCAUCGUUAAAGGAUCGCUGUAAACCUUCGUCAUUUUGUAUCCCUCGCGAGAAUUUAAUUUCACAUUUAUCGACCAAAGCGUCGAAACGGAAUUUGCCUCAUUUCGUUUUAUUCGUUCACCGUUUGCCUCUUAGAAUCACGACACGAAAUAGUUUCGUUUAAUCGUUUCGUGUAAAAAGACGAAUAACGAUUAUCGAUCAUUUGGCGAACACGACCGGGAAAACAGAAACACCCUGUAGAGCGAACGGAGACUCGAUGUGUUAGCGGAAAACACGGUUGAAUCAGAAAGACGACGGCAUGGCACUGCGUGCUGAAAAUACGACACCCUUCUUCGCUCUUCUCCGUAGCUUUCAUUGACCCGCCAAGGACUCGUUCGGUACCUUGCUUUUGUUGUAUGUAAAUUAACAGCCGAGAGACGCGAGAAUACGAAAGGAGACGCAAAGACGACGCACGCGUCUUUCUCGGCGCUGUGCCCGCCGCUUCUUGUCCGCUCGUGCCAACUCAGUAACAGCAACAAACUCGAUUGUACAAAUUCUUUCAGUCGUCCAAUUCCUGCUUUCACCAUAUUUUAUGUUCGCGCUUUAUUCCUCUCGUAUAUCAGCCAAAUGAAUGGUUACACCUGUACACACCUACACCCGUGCGAUUUAAUUAGUUCUUUCACCUGCGCCGCGAACGAUAUAAAAGCCUGGAAAUAUGUUGGACGUGUCGCAGGUGUGGAUGACUAUAUAUUUGAAAGGUAAUCGGCAAUUGUCUGUUCCGAAACACAGCUAAACUUAAGUAGUUUACACGUACCUAUGGAUAUAGAGUAUUUAUACAUUUUUAUAUCGCAUUUUUCGGUUUCACGUUUCGAUUUUGUGGUCGAAGGAAAUUCAACUUUGCGUUUCUCAAGUAGGGAUACGUAGACACGACCUCGACCAUGUUUCAAAAUUAUAUGCUGUGCCGGUGGCAUCGUAAUUACGACUUGCAACGGUAACGAGCGUCAACGUUGUGAAAGCAACUAAUCGAAAUUGCGGUUAAUGACCAAACCAGUUGAUCAAUUAACUUCGUCGCUACUAUAUCAUUCGUCUACGUCAUGUACAAAUACUUUUAUUCGCCUUGUCCGCCUUUAUAGGUGUAGAAUUUCAUGGUUUCACCGUUCCUUCGUUUCCGAUAAUACGUCCGCCCUUUUGCCGUGGAUCCAGCAAAUAGAGAUCUAAAGAUCGAUCGAAAACACGUAAACAGCGAUACAAUCCAAUUUGGAUAUACGCGUGUAUUCUUUUGCCGUUUUCCUGUUAAUACCCGCAAAAGCUCGUAAAAGCAUAGUAAUGAAAUAUCGAACGCGACUUUGUAAUUUCGAUUCUCUGGAACCUUAAAUUAACUUUCCAUGUUGUAAAUAACAGGUGGUGAAAAAAGAAAAGGUGUUCGCGUAUAUUCGUGGCUCGGUUAAAACUUGCAUUUUCGCGCACCUGAAUUUCGUACAGCAAAUUGCAAUUUAGCCUCGUAUUUAUUGCACUUUCUCCUUCUUUUCGGCAUAAUUAAUUUUUUUUUUUUUUUUGUACACGAUUAUUAAGAUUAUUUAAGACGCUUAAAGUUACCACGUUACUUAAUCGCGUGCACGUAUUUCCGUGCCUAUUAACAAGCAUUAUGGUCUGCUUCUUGUUUUUAUACGGUUCUGUGUUAUUUAUUCGAGAAUUUCAUCCGAUCGAAAGGGACAUUAGCAGCUAUUGCAAAGGAGAAUUAUUCGCGUGUCCAAUCGCUCCGAUCCUGCGUCCCAAAAAUCAAGCAAGGACCAUAUUACCGACGUAUCGUAUUACCGACAUCGAACGCGUCUAACAAAGUACUUAUAGCCGUACGUAUGUGGAUCCAGCGACCAUGGCGUCCGUUCGAACCGAAGCUACGCAUAGGUUCACAGUCGCGAAGGGAUUAACAGUCCACGACGAAGCUAUUUACAAUUAACUAAACGAAGUUUCAAGCUGCACAGCUGGCGGCUGGUGGCGAUGGUUUAAAAAUUACCGACCGGCUCCAGGCUACGGCCCUCGUCAAAGCGAAGCAAGGCGCGACAAGGCGAGGCGAGGCAACGCGACGAGACGCGUGCUGGUCUUUUUACGAAUGAUUCGAUGCCGCGUAACGGCUGCAACGACGCUUUCCGACGAAUAGAAAUGCUCGUCGUAACGGAGCUUUAAAAGCGGCGGUUGAAAGAAUCUUCGGCGAGAUAUAGUCUACGUCGUGGCGGCGACCGCGUAGCUACGCGUAGGUAGGACACGCGGAUGCGAUACGUAUCUGCAGCAAUCCGCGGUUCAGGGCGAGCCUCGCUUGCACCAUCUUCUGCUUCUUUACCGGAAAAUCGACCUUUCGAUCGUCUCGCCGAUGUCACCGCUCUGCGAUCGUCUAACGACCCAUGAGAUGUGCUCGACCACUCUCCUGCCAACCCUUCGAAUUGGCAACUUCUCGAAAAAAUAAAAAUAAAAAACAGACGAAGAGAUUACAGGAGCGCAGAAACGUACCAGUCGCGCACGAGUUAAUUGAGUAAUUGAGAUAAAUAUAUUGGGCAACGUUUGCCGCUGAGAUGACUUUUACCUGAUUCCUUGGUCGAUGCUGUAAAUGUCAGCAACGUUCAGCCGCGUGUUCGUGGUAAUUUUUAAAGCAGCCUCUUUUUGCUAGCUACGCGAUGAGCGAUCGAUCGAACGUCUGAUUUUAGAGAAACGGCACGUUGCGAAAGAUUCGCUUGUUUAAAGUAACGAGAUGCGUCAGAUACGAUUUGCGCGUUAAUGCUAAUAUUUUCUCACUUUGCAAUUUUUCCUCGAAUAUCUAGUCCAAACGAUCGUUCGGCCAUUUCCUUUCAAUUAUAUUUUCCCAUCCAACUGGUUGAGUUAUAAUAAAUACGCGCGUGCGUGGCGUAUAUGAUACGUAUAAAUUAUUCUACAUCGUCGGUGAAACAUCGUUAAUCGUUUGAAACGUCGUGUUCGAUUAACGCUUUGAUGCAUAGCGUUACGAUUUUAAUUACAAAAUUGCCAACGUUUUAACCGUCGAAAUUAAUUGUCGAGAUAACUUACGUUAGUCGAAUUUAAUCCUCCAAAUAACCAAGAUAAAUACUAUACUAUAGACCAUUUUUCAUUUAACAACGUUUCAUUUCACAUAUGGGCAGUAACGUAAAACGAGUGAAAGUUGUUGCAAACGACGGUGGGCAGACCGAGCACGGGCAACAGUUAAAAGCUACCAUAACCGGAGAUGACAUUCCUCUUUACUAUGGUAAUUUAUUCCUUUCAUUUUCCAUAAAUAAUCCUUCUUUCCACAUCCGAAGAUCUCGAUUCUUUUCAUAUGUAAACGAACGCGUUUCCUAAUCGUUACGCUGUUUUGUCCACUUCUCACUCUCGCACGAUUAAAUUCUAAGACGGUUGACGUUAAAUAAACACGUUAGAUAUAUACGCUACGCGUAAUUAAUGAAACGUAUAAUAAUAAAAUAUAAUCAAAGAA